rnacentral:rRNA from 1 species
CGGAUUGUAGUCUGCAACUCGACUACAUGAAGCUGGAAUCGCUAGUAAUCGCAGAUCAGAAUGCUGCGGUGAAUACGUUCCCGGGUCUUGUACACACCGCCCGUCACACCAUGGGAGUCGGAAAUGCCCGAAGCCGGUGACCCAACCAAAAGGAGGGAGCCGUCGAAGGCAGGUCUGAUAACUGGGGUGAAGUCGUAACAAGGUAAC